UUAACACACCGGAUCCCGUACAAUUACCGAAGUUAAGCAGCAUCGGGCCUUGUCAGUCGCUAGAUGGGUGACCGCUUCAGAAUACCAGAUGCUGUAA